AGCAAUUGAGUGGCAUAUCCCGGCAUACCAGAUACCGGAAAUAAAGAAAGGUAUGAGAAAGACUCGAAGCAGUGAACCUCGAGAACGAACCGAGUCCCAGAUUGGCCAGGCGGAGGUCCCACGCUGGCGUCACCACUCGAGGGACGAGGCGCCGCGCGGUCACGUGGAUAUCUGAAUUGCGCGUUAAUCACCUCAGUAAUUGAACACCGGUGUCAUUAGUUUGUGUAGUGGUCGUUAAUUGUACUUUGCAGUAGUGCAGGCAAAGGAAGCGUUAGACUCUCUAGCUUCCAUGGAGCUGACUUUGCCGUGGGUACUGAGCGCUGGCAGCAGGGAGUGUGGUGCUGGAGGCCUGGUGUUCCCUGUCGUGAGUUACUCCGUGGCGACGCCGGACAGCAGUAGGAGCGAGAACAAGCCAGCGCCAAGUACACGAGUUGGGACGAAAAGAUGCCGUGACGCAGUAUGCCUCUGCUGAAUCUGCUCUCGUGGACAGUGAUCUGCCGCAAGAGGGAGGAUGUACGUGAGUUUUGUCCUGCAGCGGAAUUCCGGACAACGCAGGUGUUUGGGAGAGUGGAUGAUCAGCCAGGACUGAGUGGAAGCUGCUGACUCUCAGGAGUGACCUGUGUGGUGCAGGACUGUAGUGGUUAUGCAGUCUCUUGUUUUAACGAGAGAGACAUUGUGGAGGAGGUUGGCAAGUGCUCUCAACACAUGUGACGGACCGGCGCCAUGGUAACUGUGACCGUGGCCAGGAAGUCUCUUGUGGUACACUGCAAUGUUGUGUUAUCAAGACUGUGUAUUGGUGCAACGCAUACAGUCGGAUCACUAAGCGUGUUGUAGUGAUGAAACUAUUGCGAGUGAUUAUUGAUCGUUCGAAAAAAAAACUAGUGCUUGAGUUACACCACCGCCAUAACCACCGCCACCACCGCCGCUACUAAGAGCUAAGUUUGUCAUCGCUAAAGUGGAGUGUUGUGGCGCGGUUAGUGUCUACCUCAAAACAUCACCAGGGACACAGUCAGCCACAACAACGAAAAGACUGCACUACAGAGGCGAGGCGGCGGCGUGCAGGGAGGCAAGGAAGGAAGGAAGGAAGGAAGUUAAACAAGCUUUGCCUGGAAGCUUUUGGUGCAGCGUUGGAAGGUUAAGUGUGUACUCCUGUGGAUAUGUUUGCAUCACAGCCAUUCAGGUACGAGUAAAUUAACUCUUGUCUCGGGAAAACAAAUCAGUAUUACGUACCUCUGUGUGUGAGCCUCCGUGUCUUCUGGCUCCGUACUGAGGAUUUCGCAUGAUUACCUAUAAAGUGUGGCUACUGCGAGGCGCUGCUGGCCUUCACACUCCAUCCCCUGCGCCCUCCUGUCAUUACAUCGCCUUUCCAGCGAAGGCAUUACUGCGAUGGUUAUGCGGCUUUUGAGGGGAGUAGCAGCCGCCCAUCGCUGGGAAGGACGCGCCUCACCCUGGCGGCCCUGCUCGGUCCCUUCCACGACUCGCAGCGAGAGAGAGAGGUCGAGGUGCGGUGGUCUCGUGGCGGAAGCCUGAAGAAGGCGGUGAAGGAGUGAAGGUGUGAAGUGUGCAGCUUCCACUUCAUCAUCCCAUGUUGCAGUAAGAAGAGUGUGUCAAGAAUUUCAAGCAGGAAGAACACGUAAAAUUCCCUUCAAGUCAUGGCGGGACCGACAGGCAACCUUCAACACUUGUGGAGGCACGAGAGCUGCAGGCAGUUUCACAAAGAAGAGGUUGCUCCUCACUCAAGUUGAUGCAAGGACACAAGAAUUGGCAAGUGUUGUUGCUCCCAGGCCCUGCUGCAAGAGUUCUCCAGUCCACUCCAGUCUGGGAAGGAAGAAUGUAGCAAGUCCUUCUCUUCUGUACUCAACAACCACCACCACCACCUUCAUUCAGGCUUGGGAUAAGUUUUGUACAUUCCAGCACUUCAGUAAUAAGGAAAAAAAGUGCCAUGUUUAUAUUAUUGUUGUGUAUUUAUUCACUUAACAUUCACAUUAAAACAAUAAACAUUCAGUAUACCAUCUUGAACAUAA